rfam:Stegodyphus mimosarum contig77716, whole genome shotgun sequence.
GCCUUUGAGGUGUAGUGGUCAGCACACUCGACGCAUAUUCGAGAGGUCCGUGGUUCGAGUCCCUGCGAGGGCG